GUGCCUUUCUGCUAGUGGUCCAUGCAGUCGGCCUUAAGAUCCGAUGGGAAUCAUCCCUCGCGAGUUCGAAUCUCGCAAGGCACA
rnacentral:tRNA from 2 species